rnacentral:rRNA from 1 species
AUUGAACGCUGGCGGCAGGCUUAACACAUGCAAGUCGAGCGGAGAUGAGGUGCUUGCACCUUAUCUAGCGGCGGACGGGUGAGUAAUGCUUAGGAAUCUGCCUAUUAGUGGGGGACAACAUUCCGAAAGGAAUGCUAAUACCGCAUACGCCCUACGGGGGAAAGCAGGGGAUCUUCGGACCUUGCGCUAAUAGAUGAGCCUAAGUCGGAUUAGCUAGUUGGUGGGGUAAAGGCCUACCAAGGCGACGAUCUGUAGCGGGUCUGAGAGGAUGAUCCGCCACACUGGGACUGAGACACGGCCCAGACUCCUACGGGAGGCAGCAGUGGGGAAUAUUGGACAAUGGGCGGAAGCCUGAUCCAGCCAUGCCGCGUGUGUGAAGAAGGCCUUUUGGUUGUAAAGCACUUUAAGCGAGGAGGAGGCUACUUGGAUUAAUACUCUAGGAUAGUGGACGUUACUCGCAGAAUAAGCACCGGCUAACUCUGUGCCAGCAGCCGCCGUAA